rnacentral:lncRNA from 1 species
UGUUGUAGACCUUUGAUUUGCUUGGAGUUUUAUCCCCCCAAACGUAAUGAGAAUUGAUCAUUUUUAAGUUACAAAUAAUCCCAUAGCAGAACUGAGAAACAAGGGAGAGAGGCAUUUAUCCCAUAAAACUAUCCAACAAGGGUGUUUAAUGCAAAACAAACAUUUUGGAUACCUAUCCAAUUCUUUUCUUACACUGUUGUAAAUAUAGCAUAUUUCAUGGUUUCAAAUUAAACAAAAAUUUGACCAUAUCUCAUAACAAUGAAAACCAUGAGGUGUUAAUUGUAGGGUGAUUUGGUGCUGUAUCUAGAGUUGUG